rnacentral:rRNA from 1 species
UACGUAGGUGGCGAGCGUUGUCCGGAUUUACUGGGCGUAAAGGGAGCGUAGGCGGAUUUUUAAGUGAGAUGUGAAAUACUCGGGCUCAACUUGAGUGCUGCAUUUCAAACUGGAAGUCUAGAGUGCAGGAGAGGAGAAUGGAAUUCCUAGUGUAGCGGUGAAAUGCGUAGAGAUUAGGAAGAACACCAGUGGCGAAGGCGAUUCUCUGGACUGUAACUGACGCUGAGGCUCGAAAGUGUGGGGAGCAAACAGG